rnacentral:other from 1 species
CAAGUCCUGAUGUGUACGUUAUCUCAUCAAUUCGUUUUGACCGAACAAUUCUAUUAUUGGGAGCCUGCGUUUUUCUGCACCGUGCAUGCCUUUUGCGAGGACGCAUUAAGCAGAAAACAGGGCACCCACCUGCUGAGAGCGGGUUCAAAACAAUAGAUAUCCAAAGAGACGGCACGAUUGGGAUUUGC